GGUACCCUACGGGGGGCAGCAGUGGGGGAUAUUGCACAAUGGGGGAAACCCUGAUGCAGCGACGCCGCGUGGGUGAAGAAGCGCCUCGGCGCGUAAAGCCCUGUCAGCAGGGAAGAAAAUGACGGUACCUGAAGAAGAAGCCCCGGCUAACUACGUGCCAGCAGCCGCGGUAAUACGUAGGGGGCAAGCGUUAUCCGGAUUUACUGGGUGUAAAGGGGGCGCAGCCGGCGAUGCAAGCCAGGAGUGAAAGCCCGGGGCCCAACCCCGGGACUGCUCUUGGCACUGCGUGGCUAGAGUGCAGUAGG
rnacentral:rRNA from 1 species